ACAAAGGACAGCAACAGUGAAUAAAUGUAAAAAAAAUACUGACAUGAUGACAAUGUCUUGACUUGAAGGUGAAUUGGAUCUAAAUGAGACAGAACUGCACUCCUCCAGUCAUCUGAGUCCAGUGGCAAGCAAGACAAAGGACCUUGGAUGCAACACGUCACUGAAAGUUCCGAGGUCAAAAGCCAUCCCAGUCUUUUUCCAAGAUCUAUUGUCUCAUGGCCUUCUGGAGUCCUAUUCUUUCCAACUACCAAAAGGAGACUCACCAGAGAAUCUCACUGGAGUUUCCACCGUCACCUAAUAUUGUUCCCAGGCUCAGGAUCCACCACCAGUCAGAUCAAGCGAAUAGCCGACAAGUUGGAACUGCAAACUCAUGGUCCAUGCUGGUUUUUCUGUAGUGGGCAAUUCUAUUUUAAAACAUCCCACAUUGAGACUUUAAGCGACUUCCUUUAUAAUAAAAUGCCCCUACGCAACCCAACUUUUUCUUUUUUGUCACCCUCAGGAUUGAGAUUGCAGAGCUAAAAAGGAAAAAUUUGGCCAAAAUGGCAUCUUUACCUGUGAGCAUGAUGUUUCUGCCAGAACAUGAGCUCUUUGAGGACAAUAAUUGCUUUCAUUUAGUCUUUGAAUCCUUGGCACUGAGGACAGCGCUGGUGCAAGGUGUGGAGUGAAGAAGAUAGGCAACCCAAGGGCUAUCUUGGUACCCCUGACAUUUUAAAAACAUAUCUUUUUUUUUUUUUUUUUUUUGGUCUUUGCACUUGUUAUUUCAAACAUUCCUUUCCCAAUACUUUCCCAGUGACAAACACAGAAAACAUCUUAUACUGACCUAUCUGACAAAUAUAUAUAAAUAUGGCCCUCAUUACACCAUUUAUUUCAUUAUCUGCCUUCCUGGAACCCCAAUGGGUAAAGAUUAAAAGUACCAGAAAUAGGCCUUCAGUAAACUGGAGUCUUUAUGGAGAAUUAGAUGUUGGAAGAUGGAUGCAUUUAUUGACAUCUUCGGAAAAACUACCUAUACUGAAGACAGCAAAGACCCAGUUAUUUUUAUCCCACGGUGAUAUUCAGUUUUAUAAAAGUACCUCGGGGCCUACAAAGAGCCAGAGGUCACUAGGCCAG
rnacentral:lncRNA from 1 species